GGCAAACAGAUAACCUAUCCGGUCAAUUUACUUGAAGUUUUGCAUAUAGUUUACCCACAAGUUGACCUUUUGCUGUAAAAAUAUAAAAGGCAAUCGUGUGUUUGACACAUUCUCUCUUCACCCCCCCCCCCCCCCCCCGAGAAUCCUUAAAUGAGCUAUGUAUUUUACUGUUUCUGUGUUUUAAUAUUAUCAAUUUUAUUUGACAUUCUCAUUCGUAAAUAAUAGUUUAAGGUAGUUUCUUUUGUUAUUUUCAUCACCAAUUCUUAAACACCAAAUGAUAAUACUUUGUAUAUUUAAACUAUUAACCUUGGUCAGAAACCAAAUCAAAACUAAAAAUCUUCUCACCCAAGGAAUUGCUUUAUUGAAUUGUAUGAAAUGAUGUGCGGGGCAUAUUCAAGUUGUGUUUAAAUUUCUCUCAAAUGGUUAUUUAAAUCUGAUUGUGCAAUACAUAUCAUUGCCCAGUGUUAAUGAUCAACCAUGUGUAUCAUUUUAUUUUAAUUUAAUCAUAGAGAGCGAAAUCGU
rnacentral:sRNA from 1 species